GACGCUCAUCAGUGGGGACCCAACGCCCCGGGUGACCGAGUAACCAGAGGACAAAACCCGAGGCCCGUUCAAUGCUUUCUCCGUGGAUGCUGCCCGAAAGCCACGUGGCCAGUGACCCGUGACAGACGCAGCCCUGCGCACCCCCCGGGCCACUCCUGGCCUGCCUGCUGCUGAGAUGUGACAGACUGGGGGGCUGGGGACAGACCCCCCCUCAGCCAGCACCUUCCUCCUGACAGCGGCCACGGUGGUGCUUGUGCAGAGAGAGCAUUGCACAGCGAGUCCGGGGCGCCGGGUUCCAGCCUCAGCUCUGGGGACAUUAACCGCUCCAAACCUCAGUUUUCUCAUCCAUGGAAUGGGUAUGAAGAAGUAUAUUGCUCAUGGGGCCAUCGGGAAGGUCCGGUGAUAAUGUAAAGCAAAGCACUUAGCACUCUUGCAGGCACCAAGGACGCCCCCAAGAAAUGGUAUACGAGCAUGA